GAGUUUGAUCGUGGCUCAGAUUGAACGCUGGCGGCAUGCCUUACACAUGCAAGUCGAACGGCAGCACGGGAGCUUGCUCCUGGUGGCGAGUGGCGAACGGGUGAGUAAUGCAUCGGAACGUAUCCUGGAGUGGGGGAUAACGUAGCGAAAGUUACGCUAAUACCGCAUAUUCUGUGAGCAGGAAAGCGGGGGACCUUCGGGCCUCGCGCUCUUGGAGCGGCCGAUGUCGGAUUAGCUAGUUGGUGAGGUAAAGGCUCACCAAGGCGACGAUCCGUAGCAGGUCUGAGAGGAUGAUCUGCCACACUGGAACUGAGACACGGUCCAGACUCCUACGGGAGGCAGCAGUGGGGAAUUUUGGACAAUGGGGGCAACCCUGAUCCAGCCAUGCCGCGUGAGUGAAGAAGGCCUUCGGUUG
rnacentral:rRNA from 2 species